ensembl:snRNA U6 U6 spliceosomal RNA
AUCACAUUGGGUGCUCACUACUAAAAUUGGAACCAUACAGAGAAGAUUAGCAUGGCCCCGUGGAAGGAUGACAUGUAAAUUCAUGAAGCGUUCUAUAUUUUC